GGUUCGUUAGCCAAGCGGUUAGGCACGGGUCUGCAAAACCUGUUAGACUGGUUCGACUCCAGUACGAACCUCCA
rnacentral:tRNA from 1 species